rnacentral:rRNA from 1 species
UACAGAGGGUGCGAGCGUUGUCCGGAAUCACUGGGCGUAAAGGGCGCGUAGGCGGCUUGAUAAGCGUGCGGUGAAAGCCCGGGGCUCAACCCCGGGUCGGCCGUGCGAACUGUCGAGCUGGAGCACUGUAGAGGCAGGUGGAAUUCCGGGUGUAGCGGUGAAAUGCGCAGAUAUCAGGAGGAACACCGAUGGCGAAGGCAGCUCACUGGGACGGUACUGACGCUGAGGCGCGAAAGCGUGGGGAGCAAACAGG